AAAAAGUUGUGAAAUAUAUAUUUGGAUAAUAAUUUAAUCGCCACGCUUUCUUUAAAGAGUGUUUCGACCCUAUUCCAAGCCUUGGGUUACACGAAAUUCCUUUGUGGGAUAAGACAAUCAAAAUCUCACUCUUGUUCUAGGCUAAGAUACAAGAGAAACAAAUAGAGCUUUAGUGUUUAUAUGUGUUUCUUCAACAUCGUUGAUGAUCUUUGAACAAUGAAUCUCUCUCUCUCUCUCA
rnacentral:lncRNA from 1 species